AUAGUCUUUCAUCUCUUAUCUCUC
rnacentral:siRNA from 1 species